rnacentral:tRNA from 1 species
GGGGUUGUAGCUCAGUGGCAGAGUUCUUGCCUUAUAAGUAUGAGGCACUGGGUUUGAUCCUCAGUACCACA